UGAGGAAUAUUGGACAAUGGAGGCAACUCUGAUCCAGCCAUGCCGCGUGCAGGAAGACUGCCCUAUGGGUUGUAAACUGCUUUUAUACGGGAAGAAACACUCCCUCGUGAGGGAGCUUGACGGUACCGUAAGAAUAAGGAUCGGCUAACUCCGUGCCAGCAGCCGCGGUAAUACGGAGGAUCCAAGCGUUAUCCGGAAUCAUUGGGUUUAAAGGGUCCGUAGGCUGGCAAUUAAGUCAGGGGUGAAAGUUUGCGGCUCAACCGUAAAAUUGCCUUUGAUACUGGUUGUCUUGAAUUACUGUGAAGUGGUUAGAAUAAGUAGUGUAGCGGUGAAAUGCAUAGAUAUUACUUAGAAUACCAAUUGCGAAGGCAGAUCACUAACAGUAUAUUGACGCUGAGGGACGAAAGCGUGGGGAGCGAACAGGAUUAGAUACCCCCGUAGUCC
rnacentral:rRNA from 1 species